rnacentral:lncRNA from 1 species
UCUAGAUUCUUACAGAUUUCAUUAUUUGAAAAUAAAGAUAAACUUGCCUCAUUACUUUUUAUUAAAAAUACUUUUGAACAUAUAUAAUUUAAUCAUUCCCGUGACUAAAGUUCAAACAUUCUGAUGAACUUCUUUCCCUAGGUAAACCAGCAUAUAACUUUGUAGUAGAACAAAGUUACAUUCCAUUUCGUUAUAAAUUCCUUUAGAAAGACAAGUUUCAAAAAUUAUUUCUCUCAAAGUGUAUCAUUGUGACACCACAUUAAGAAAAAUCAAAGAUAAAUAAUAGGACUAUGGAUCCUGCAAAUUUUGCCAAUGCCUGAAGACAUAUUCAUACAUUCAUUCAUUCAUAAAUAUUUAUUGAGGGCCUGGUACAUACCAGGAACUAUUUUCUAUGUUCUGGGGAUAUAGCAGUAAAACAACAACAACAAAAAAACAUAUAAACUCUCUCCCAUGAUGGAACUUAUAUUUUAGUGCGGAAGAACAGAAAAUAACUAAGACAAAUAAAGAAAACAUAUGAUUUGUUAGAUACUGAUAGUUGCUAAGGAUGAAAAGAUAGUAGGGGAGGGGAAUAUAAAUUGUCAGGGAGGAAUGACAACAUUUUAGAUGGGAUGGCAAGUGAAGGCCUCAAUGAAAAGAUAACAGUUUAUUUGUUAUCUUUGAUAACAAUGAAAAGAUAACAGGUUAGAUAAGAUGAGGGACACACCAUCUGGCCUUCUGGGAGGCAAUUCCAGGUAAGGGGGCAUGUUCAAUGCAAUGGCAAGAAGGAUCUGGUCUGUUCUAGGAAUGUGCUGUGGUCUGUGUGCUUGGAACAGAGAGAUGGGUGAGUAAUCAAAGAACUCAGAGAUGUAAUGAAUAUGGGUGGUGAGGUUGGGGACAGAUAAUUCAAGGCCUUGGGUCAUAGUAAGGACAUUGGCCUUUCCUCUGAGUGAUAUCAAAAGCCAUAAGUAGAAUUGAAGGAAUAAUAGGAUGUAACUUAUGACUGAAGAGGGUCACUCUGCCUGCUGUAUUAAGAAUGGACUGCAGGAGGGCAAGGAUAUCUGUUAAGACCUGUUUUAAUAGACCAAACAAGAGAUAAUGGUGGCUCAGGUCAAGUUGGUAGCAGUGGACAUGAUGAGAAGUGGUUAGACUAUAUAUGUAUUUUGAAGGUAGAAUCAACAGGAUUUCCUAAAUGAUUAAAUAUGAAAUAUGAGAAAAGAAGUUAAGUUAAUGAUGCACCAAGGUUUUUGGCUUGAGUAACAAAGGAUAGAACUGCCCUUAAGCAAGAUGGGGUAGACAGUGGGAUAAAUGGUAUUUUUAUUUUGGAUGGAGGGGUUGGUUAUUAAGAGCUCAGUAGUAAAAUUAGAGCAGUAGAACUUUAAGGAUGGGCAGAUGAGUCUUACAGGGGUUUACCACUCCAUUCAUUCCUCAGUCCUUACCCUUAAGACCCCCAUGAUGGCAAUCCACUGAUGACUGGGUAGCAUUGAAGGAAAAUGUCAAAAUGGUCAGGGGAAAGGAAAGACAGCCUAGCCAUCUGCUUCUGUGUAAAAGAUUUAGCUAAAUUUACUUAUCAUGAUGGCAUUUGUUGCCGAAUUGCAGAAUGUGUUAUUAUUCACAGAUAAACCCUUUAUAAAGACUAAGCUUUAGUCACCAUUUUAUUUAUUUAUACAAUAAAUGCUUACCAACUAUCUAAUCUGGGCCAAUUUCUGUGCCAGGAAUUGGGGUUAACAGAGAAGUAUAAGAUUUGGUCCUUGGCCUAAAGCAGUUCACAGCCUGGAGGGCAGAGAUACAUAAAUAAAAGAUGAGAGGUAUUAUUACAAGAGCAUGGUCCCAAACUAUAAGAUUAGAGAAUAGAGGGCAAUGAACUAUCAGGUGGGCUGGGCUGUGUAUUUCUCCUUUUCUAUUUAAUUCUGAGAUUCUGUUUUAUUGGUAUUCUUAUUUUUCUUUGUGAAUCAGAGGUUUAACUACUAAGAGUUUGCAGGGUAAUGUAUCAUAAGACUCUAUGUUGCCUGAGCUGAAUUUCCUUCAGGACUUGCAAAAUCUUGGGUCAUGGGAUUCCAACCUAAGAUUAAAAAAAAGUCCAAAGUUUCUGUUCCUUGUUUGUAAUUCUCUUAAAUACGAUUAUCUAACUUCUUCUCUAAGUGCCAUGACAAGGCAAACUUUUCUAAAAAAGGGGUACCUAUGUGUAACUUGAAGGUACUGUUUGUGUUCUUUGUAACUGGGUACUUGAGAAGUAUGACUAGUAAUUUGCAGCAGUGAGCAGUUACAAGAACUUUUUCUGUUGGCGAAGAGUUGAAGAUACCUGCAUAUAUUGUAUUUUGUUGUUUAUCCUUUUGAAGGGCUCCAUAAGCACCAUCAUUCAUUCUGUGGAGCAUGCACUUUGUACCUGUAGCAAUUUCCUUUUCUGUUUUUGGUGUAGACUAGACAUCCAACAAGGUUCAGCAGACUUGACUGUUGGUUGUUAUAGGGUGGUGAUAAACUUCUUAGGUUUGGUAGUAAAAGAUUCACUGAAAGAGACAGUCCGUCUUUCUGCCUUUAAAUUUAUACAGCUAUAGCAAUUGCUUCUGAUUCAUAAAGGACAGCUUGUAAAUUGUCUACUGAGCCUAAGAUUGUCUCAUCUUUGAGCUAUUUUCUUUUCAGAGUCUUCUGAUUUCUGAAAAAUAGAGUGUAAGGAAAAGAAGGAAAUUCAUGGGAAAAUAAAAUGAUAAGUGAUAUUUAUUAAUUUAUUUGUAUGAUUUUUAAGUAGCUAUGCGAGUCAUUUUUCAUGGUUGAUUUGUGGGGACCAACCAUUAGGUUUGUGUCUGGGGCAGGUUAAAAGGAGACUUCACCCCACUGAGUUUGUGUUUGGGGAAGUGUGACUUUGCUUCAGUGCUCCACCACCCUUACCAAGCCCACACCCCUGCAGCUACCAAGAAUUAUAGAAGUAGUGGCUUAGUGUUCUUCCUAUCCAAAGUUCUCCUCCCACCACCUCCCCAUCUGGAGCUACCCUAUGACUUCUGCUCCAUUAUCCACUCAAUCUACCUAGUUUGGCUAGAGUCACAUGCUUAAGAUUAGUUUGUGAUGACUUCUAAUGAAAUAAUUUUGCAUUGAUAACAAAGAAGCUUCUUUAAACACUGAAGAGAGCAAGAAAAGGUUAGAUCAAGAAAUCAGGUAUUUAAAAAUAUGUAAUGAUAUUCUUUUUUUUUUCCUGAUUGCUUGUGAACCUGGGGUAUAGUAUAAAUUAAACCAGAUCAUGCUUGCCCCUGGACUAUUUUUAUAAUAAACUCAAUUUAAAAUCUUCAACUUUUUAUUUCCAAUUUUGAAUUUUAGUUAUAUUCAGCAAGAUGACAUGAUUGAAACAUGGCACUUGUCCUGCAGGAACUCAUGCUUCAGUGAAGCACAUUGGUGUGCAAUGGUAACAACUAUCAUAGAAGUCACCAUGUUUUAGGUUUUCAUUAAGUGCCAGGCACUCUACUUGAGUUUUUUUUUUUUUUUGACUUUUAGCCGCUCCUCACAAUACUUGUGCAAGGUUGUAAAUGGUUUUCAAAUUUAAGAUGAGAAAACUGAGGUUCAUGGAGGUCUAGUCACUGGCUCAAGAUGACAGGCAGUAAGUGGCAAAUUAGGGUCUAAUAUUCAGAUUAUCACAUUCCAUGUCUUGUGCUCUUGUGACACAUUGCUUUCAAAUACAAAGAAAAUCCGUAUUUCUGGAGCAAUGUGAAAUGGGUUGAUGUGCUUUUGUGUUUAUUUGGGUGCCAUAAAUUAGGAAAAAAAUUUCUACACAGUAUCCUGAUUAUAUUGUUUUGAUUGUUGUUUAACACGGGAUAAAAUAAGUUGAGUUCAGUUUUCUAGGAAACUGAAAUAGGAGGGCAAAUAAUAUUAUAUAAUUUUAGCAAGCAUCUGAAACUUACCGAAAGAUGUCAUCUUCUCCAGGGUAGUCAUGUUGGGAAAACUACAUUUAACCCAGUGAUAUUUGCCACUGUUCAAAACUUUUUGUCCCUUUUUAUUGUAAUUUUCUUUGGAUUUAUUCUUUUAUUCUUCACAUAACUAAAUUUUAUUGUUUUGUGAUCAAAAUUAUUUUUAUUUAAAAGAAGACUUGGUCGAUUUAACAUCAAACUUGGCUCUGAAUAAACUUUGGAUGUUUACAAAAAUAAAAUCCACCAUUUAAAGAGGACUAAUGGCUAUAUUUGACAUUUAAAACAACAUGAGGAAGGCUCUGAUGGCAAUUCCAUAAAAAUUUCUUGAGCAAUCAGUAGAAUCAAUGUAAGGUUUUCCAAAGUCACUACUUGGAAGUGGGCAACACUUGCUUAUUGGUUUGCGUUCUUAUAUUUUCAGUGAGUGAUUGAUUAUAUUAUGUAUCAUCCAGGCAGAUUUCCUGCAAGGCGGUAACAACUUGAAGUGUUCACAACUGAAGUGUUCUGGUGUGUGUAUGUGUGCGUGUAUGUGUGUGCUUCUUUCAGUGUCACCUCUCAUAAUCCUGGUCCAGUAGCACCUUCCAAAAGAUCAGGACUCAUUACCAAAAAAAAAAAAAAAAAAAAAAAGAAAAAAAGGGAGCAAGUGAGAGCAAGAGCAAGAGAGGGAGAAAGAGAAAUCAUCAAAAUGAGGAAGUAAUUCCUCUAAUUAUCAGAAACAGGAGCAAAGUAACAAUGGCUGCAAGUUACCUCCCCACGGGGGAAUGAAUCAUCAAAAUAACUGGUGGAAAACAAGGUUGUGCAACCUUGACUAGUGUGUGUCACCGGCUGGUGGAAUUUUUAGAAAGGAGCAGUUUGGGUUCAUCACUGUGGUUCGUGAUUGCACACACCUGUUUGGGGCAUGGAUUUUGCAACCCCCCAAAAAGGGGAAACUGAACUUGCUGCUCCUCCUGAGCUGUGUAAAAAAGCAGAAAACCACAGCUGCUUGAGCAGUUAACAGAUAUCAGUAAAAUACCCAUGUUACAUAAUUAAGGAUAACGUUCUUGAAGCAUAUGGGCCGGAGGUAUUAUACUCUCAUUAAAACUUUAGGUAACAAACAAUUUAGCAUAUUCUCACACAUUUCUAGGGUUGAAUUCUAUAAUAAAUGUUUGUAAUUAGAUAUGCUUUAAGCAGUUUAUUAAAUAAUACAUGAAGAAAAUGGUUGAUGAAAUAUAGACGAUUCUGAGGUCUGUGUACAAGUGACAUAGAGGCAUUGAGAUGAGACAUAAAAAAUUUCUUCUCAAUGACUUGAUAACUAGUCACUUUGGGCAGCUUAAGUAAGACUCAUUCUUCAGGCCAGCCUGUCUGUAAUGUUAAAUAAAUAGGAAUUAAUGACUUUGGAUUUUUUCUUUUCUUUUAAAGUACAUUAUAUGUAGCAGUCUUCUUUGAACUGCUACUCCUAAAUAGGAGGAGGUGCUUUUGACCAGAGCGUUACAAAAAUCUCAUGCACUUUAUUCUGGCAGGAAUAGAUCAGCUUGAUAGGGAAUAAAAGGGAUGGAUACAACCAAACAUGACCUAAAUCGACAUUUAAAAAAUCAUACCUUAGCCAACAGGUUCUGUUAUUUAUAAGUUUGAGAGGAAUAAGGAAGAGAAGUCUCUUGAGAAAAACCAAGGCAGGUGUUUGCUCCCUGGGGAAGUGAUAGGAAACAGGCCUCUAAGAUGAUAUUACAUGCAGGAAAGAAAUUCUUUCAGUUCUGUGUCUCUGUUUGAUAUUCAAGACAGCUAAUAAAUGAUCAACAAUUCUACCUGCAUGAGGAGCGUGUGAUCUAUGGAAAAUGAACUUGGAUAAUCCUAGAAAGUACCCAAGGAAAGAACGCCCAUUUCCUUAAGCCAUUGAGGUCAUCUAGAUAUUUUGUUUUUCAAUGCACACAAAUAAAAAAGCCGGUAACAGAACAAACAUGAAAUUUGGAAUGCCUUCUAGAACAUACAUGGGGAAACUGGCAAGGUUGACAUAGCUUUUACUGAUUUGUCUGUUUUAGUAGGUAAAUGGGGCUGCCAGUCUGGCAGUUUGCAUUGGCAAUAAAUCACCACUAGACAUUUUAUUUAAAAAUUGGCACUGGCUUGGCGGAGGUAAGGGAUUGUCAAUUUGUUUUUAUUUUGAGGCCAGGCACAAUCAUAACAUACACAGGCCACCUGGAAACUUCAGCCCACAUGGAGAAGCAUGGCUCAUGUCUCUGUGGCUAUAUUUUUGCAUGCUUGGAGAGUGCAGAGUUAGAUCAGAGUCUGAAGAGUCUAACCAGAAAGAUCCUGGCAGACUGGUACAGCCUGGAGACAUCCCUGUUGGAAACCAGGUUUGUUCUAGAAUUACUAUGUAGGAAGGGUAUCAUAGAUAUGAUAUUGGAGAGAACAUUUGGUGGUUUUCACUUUUAUUGAGUGUGGAGGGAGACCCACAGAGCUCAUGCAGAGCACACAAUGUGUGCAUUCCAAAAAUCACUCGAAUAUUAAAGGAUUGGGUAGCUCGCUCUUUUUUUUUUUUUUCCUGACUUAUUUUGCUUGGAAGUUCAGAUUCAAACUUGUGAUAAAUUGAGUCAUGGUUUUGAGAGGAAAAAAUAUACUGAAGUAGGGGAUGAUGCAACCACUGUCCUCAUGUAAGCAAUGAUAGAUGUUCUUUCUUUGAAAAUCAGUAUAAUUAAAAGAUAGUAAGAUGGAGAGAAGAAAAAGAUUACCUUAGACACUUGUAACUACUCCAGUGGAAAUAGUUGGGAGGAAUCCCCUAGUUUUCCUCUGAUUCUUGAUUUUCUGAAUAUCCUUCAAGGCUUCACAAUAUUGUUGAACAAUUUUUUUUGUUUAUCCAUUUUGAAAAUAUGAGAAUUAUUGCAUCAGGAAAAUUAUUUUGCAAAUAUAUUGAUUUACCGAAUUACCAAUCUUUUUGUCUCUGUUGACAUAUAUUUAUAAAUCUUAAUUGUACUUUAUAUUGUUACUAUGCAAACUGCUAGAAAGGAUCUGGUUAAGAUAGAGAUGUGCUGACUUAACCAGAGCCUCAUGAAUAAUUAAAUUUGCUCACUUUCUGGAAAUACCCAAUUUGCUCUUGAUACACAAAUAUUUGAAUUGGAUUCAACUUGUCUCUCAGAUUUUUUCCCCCUCCUGGAUUUCAUAUAUAUAAUUUUGAUGACACUGUCUAUCAAAAAAAUAGGAAAAAUAUACGCUACGGUUUCUGCUUGGUAAAGUCAUUCAAAGUGAUAUAAAAUGUCAAUAGCAAACAAGGACAUCAUUCCAAUGAUAUGUCGAGACACCUGGCAGAUUUCCUGGUAUUUGGGACAUGGGAGUAUUUAAAGAUACGUGGCAUUAAUUAGUCACAAACAGUUGAAGCAUCAAAUAUCUAACUUAAUAAGAUUUUUCUUUGUUUGUUUUCAAAUAUGUAAUGUUAGACUCUUUAGCAAAUAUUUCCAAAUUUCUAUUGUGAAUGCAGUGAGAUCUGCAUAUCUUACACCACAAUGUCCCACCAGUUGCCUGCCUGUAAUUGACAACAUUCAUGAAAUUAAAAAAAGAAAAGUAGAAAACUGAGAAAUCCCCCAAAGCAGUCACUUGAAAAAAAUCCCACAAUUCUGCCAGUUUGAGCACAUUCGAUGCCUGUACUAAAUGUCGUAUCGGCAAAUCUUCACUCAAAGAGAUCAAGAUGCAGCGUAUACAAGACUGAGGAUGAAGCAAAGUGUUGAAAUAGCUUGGGUAGCCUCCAAAGCAAUGUAGGUAAUUAGCAGGUGUUUAUAUUUUUCAUGUUGAUUUGCCCACAGAUAAUGUUUUGAAAAUAGUAAUGUAGGGCUGGGCAUGGUGGCUCAUGCCUGUAAUCCUAGCACUUUGGGAAGCUGAGGCGGGCAGAUCACGAGGUCAGGAGUUCGAGACCAGCCUGGCCAACAUGGUGAAACCCUGUCUCUACUAAAAAUACAAAAAUUAGCCGGGUGUGGUGGCGCACACUUGUAGUCCCAGCUGUUUGGGAGGCUGAGGCAGGAGAAUCGCUUGAACCUGGGAAGUGGAGGUUGCAGUGAGCUGAGAUCGUGCCAUUGCACUCUAGCCUGGGCGACAGAGCAACACUUUGUCUCAAAAAAAAAAAAAAAAAAAAGUGAUGUAAAAGUUUUCAUCUUGGCUUGUAUUUCUAACAUUUGCUUGGAUUUAAUAUACACAUUAACUUGGAUUGAAGUGUUCUGAUCUGGAUUUUUCAAACUUUGAUAGCCUUUAAAGCUAAUAUGUGAACAUUUACAGGGUCUUGGGGUUUUCAGGUUAACCUGUUGAUUUCAGGAUAUUAAGCUUCUAGUCUUUACCUUGAUCUUUUUCUCUUCCUGUGUUAUUGUGGGGCAGAAAUUGCAUGUGUGUGUGUAUGUGUGAAGAAAGUGUUAACUCACUUUGUGACUUGUAGUUCUAAUCUUAUUUUCACUGUUUAGUUAAAAAAAAAAUCCCUUUCUUCCUCCAGAAGUUUUGAAGUGGAUAACAUAGUUUGUUUAAAUGAAAUUAAUGAGAUAUGAGAUAUACUAGGGAUAAAAAUGAUUCAGAGGAAAGUAAUAUAUUUUUAAAAAGAUAUCUUAUUCUGCAAGAAAAUAAAAUGUCACUAACAUUCAUUGAGUUUUUUAAACACAAAAGGGCACAUCCAUGCACAUACAUU